AGUGAACGCUGGCGGUAGGCCUAACACAUGCAAGUCGAACGGCAGCACAGUAAGAGCUUGCUCUUACGGGUGGCGAGUGGCGGACGGGUGAGGAAUACAUCGGAAUCUACUUUUUCGUGGGGGAUAACGUAGGGAAACUUACGCUAAUACCGCAUACGACCUACGGGUGAAAGCAGGGGAUCUUCGGACCUUGCGCGAUUGAAUGAGCCGAUGUCGGAUUAGCUAGUUGGCGGGGUAAAGGCCCACCAAGGCGACGAUCCGUAGCUGGUCUGAGAGGAUGGUCAGCCACACUGGAACUGAGACACGGUCCAGACUCCUACGGGAGGCAGCAGUGGGGAAUAUUGGACAAUGGGCGCAAGCCUGAUCCAGCCAUACCGCGUGGGUGAAGAAGGCCUUCGGGUUGUAAAGCCCUUUUGUUGGGAAAGAAAAGCAGCAGGUUAAUACCCCGCUGUUCUGACGGUACCCAAAGAAUAAGUACCGGCUAACUUCGUG
rnacentral:rRNA from 1 species